UACAGAGGGGGCGAGCGUUGUUCGGAAUUACUGGGCGUAAAGGGCGCGUAGGCGGCCUGCUAAGUCGGACGUGAAAUCCCUCGGCUCAACCGGGGAACUGCGUCCGAUACUGGUUGGCUUGAAUUCGGGAGAGGGAUGCGGAAUUCCAGGUGUAGCGGUGAAAUGCGUAGAUAUCUGGAGGAACACCCGUGGCGAAGGCGGCUCUCUGGGACGGUACUGACGCUGAGACGCGAAAGCGUGGGGAGCGAACAGG
rnacentral:rRNA from 1 species